GAAGAUGAACGGAGGACUUAUGGGUUUGGAACGACAUGAGGAAAGAAGAAAGUCAUAUACAUCUAGGAUGGCUUGAGGGUGAGUAAAGCUUGGGGUAAUUUUCAUUUGAAAGUGAACUAAUCCUUUAAGUUUAUUAUUUUGACCCCAUCAGCAGAUGUUUAUAAUUGAAACUCCCUUUAUUCUGAGCAAUUCAAGACUUAAUAUCUUCAGUCAUUUUUCUUCUCCAGUAAUUGUAUCUUGAUUUAAGAAUGUUUGGAUAUUUGUGCUGGAAAACAAGGCAGAAAUACUGAGGAAGAACAUUAUUUCUUGCAGUGCAGGCAAUUCGACCAGAAUUUUUACGCAGGUAGUGGGAGAAAGACGUCGACAUUUUGGAUUCGGACGGCAAUGAAAUGACUGAGUAGACCCUGUUAAUGUUAAAAAUACCUUGAGAGUGAGAUUUUUUUAAAUGAUUAAAUCAAAACAGGACGAGUCAGAAACUAUCUGGUGAGCGCAGGAUAUUUCCCUCGGAUCUCCAGCUGUGAAGAAUCUCUCGACCGUAUCACAGAACACAGUGUUUAUACUCUCAGGACGAAUCUGAUGCACAAACCGCCUUGCUGAGACUCACAUUAUGCUCGACUUUAUGUGUGUGUGAUGUAAAUUAACCCGUCGUCAAUUCAUGAAGAUAUCUGGGGACGUUCCGCCUUUCAGCCCCUGAUACAUGGCCGUGUUCCAGAUCUGCGGGCAGAGGUCAGAGGUCUUGGGUCAGAGGUCAGUACAGGUGUGUGUGAGUUUGUACCGGUUGUCCCUGGUACCAUCUGGAAUUGUUUUUCUCACUGUUGGACAGACUGAAGGAGGCGUCAAACACGGGGUCGUACAUGUUAUUAUCCACCAGCCCAUGUGACUCGGUGUACAGGUUUGUUUUCGUGAAUUGUGGAGACAUUCCAUAGGUGUUAUGAUUUUAUACUGUACAAACCAUAUUUUCUAUCACCCAAAACAAGUAUAUUCUGUAUAUAUGCUACUACUAAUAUAAUUAUUAUGCAAGUGACAUAUGCAGGAUUUCAAUACAAUAAACGUUCAGAUUUUUGGUUUUCAAAGACAGUGUUUAUUUUAUUUCUUAUAUCUUUUUAGAUAACUUGUAUCAAUCUCAGACAGGUUUGUUAAUAGUUUGACAGGUCUUAAUGGAAAACUUCUAAAAGGUUGUUCCACAUUAUUAAGCAAGUUCUUGUGCAAUAUAGGGAAGAAGGAAGAUCUUUCUGAAGAGGAAAAGCACAAAUUUGUGCAAUGUCUAGCAAAAGGCAUAAAAACAACUAAUAAUUGGCAAAAACUGAAUAAAGAUCAAAUAUCAAACUAUCAAAAGAUUUGUGAGUGAUGUGUCACUGCCCCAUAUGCAGGGCGGUCAUUCGGGGGAGUGUGCGUGCAUUCAUGUCCUGAAGAGCAAACACACACACACACACACACACACACACACAACAACACACUCUGUUGCACUGCUGUGUUAUUAGCAAGAACCGUAUGGUCUUUUAAAGGAUAAAUAAUGCUGAAAAAUACUAUUCAAAUGGUGUAAUCAGCUUCCAAAUCAGCAUCAGAGAUCUUUAAAAAGACUUAUUACUUGAUAUUUGGCUAAACAUUAAAGCUACAGAGGUACAAAAGUCCACUUUACAUCCAAAGUUGCAAUAUGAAAUAUUAGCAUCAAUUUCACAAUGUUUUAGUAUUUCGUUUUUCCCAUGAUUGAAUGACAGCAUCACUUCAUCUGUGAGAAUAUCUGCACAAAAAUGUACUUAUUUGAUUUGUGAUUUAAAAGAAAGUGCAUAAUUUAAAUGAUUUUAUGUAAUAGAAAUCCUAAAACUGUUAAUUUUCAGGUUUAAAUGGGAUUUUAAAUCCCAGAUUUUAAAUGUGGACUUUUGGAUCCCACUGUACAUUAAAAUGUGUUACAUGCUUGUAAGUUUCUGGACAGCAGGUUGAUUUUGUGUCAUGCCAAAGUAAACAGCUUUUUGAGAAUUUAAAAUCUUAAAAACAUAAAAAUAGAGUUUAUCAUAUUGUAUAAUAAUCUUAUUUUAUUAUCAGUGUAUUGACACAUUGCACUUAUAUUUUCAUGAAUAAAAAUAAUUUGCAUUGCA